rnacentral:tRNA from 1 species
GGUGAUGUAGCUCAGUGGUAGACCACCUGCCUAGCAUGUAUGAGGCCCUGGGUUCAAUCCCUAGUACUGCCA